rnacentral:rRNA from 1 species
CUACGGGAUGCUCCAGUGAGGAAUAUUGCACAAUGGGGGGAACCCUGAUGCAGCAACGCCGCGUGGAGGAUGACGCAUUUCGGUGUGUAAACUCCUUUUAUAUGUCAAGAAAAUGUCGGUAGCAUAUGAAUAAGCUCCGGCUAACUCCGUGCCAGCAGCCGGCGGUAAUACGGAGGGAGCAAGCGUUACUCGGAAUCACUGGGCGUAAAGGACGCGUAGGCGGGAUAGAAAGUCAGGUGUGAAAGCCUAUGGCUCAACCAUAGAACAGCACUUGAAACUCCUAACCUAGAGUAUGGGAGGGGAAGAUGGAAUUAGUAGUGUAGGGGUAAAAUCCGUAGAUAUCACUAGGAAUAUCAAAAGCGAAGGCGAUCUUCUGGAACAAUACUGACGCUAAUGCGUGAAAGCGUGGGGAGCAAACAGGAUUAGAUACCCGGGUAGUC